UGUGAUUCACAUUUAGGUCAUGUCUUCCCAGAUGGUCCAGAACCUACGAAACAGAGGUUUUGUUUAAACAGCAGGUCAUUGUUGUUUAAGCCAAAAAAACAAGAAAAAAAGUGAAUUAUCCAUUGAGUGAUUUUCAUAAUUGUUCUAUCAGAAUGCAUCAUUAAACAUGUAAUGAAUGGCCACACUCAAAUGCAGUGCCUAGAUACACAUACAAUGAGUUAACACCCUGUAUCAUCGUACAGCGGAUAUAGGUACUUACCAAGCGGGCGUGAGAGAUUUUGAUCUUACACGGUAACGAAAAAUCUUUGUUUUGUUCGGAUAAUAUCAAUUUGUACUUCAAUCGAAACAUAAUUGCUGUUUUAAGAAAUGAUUUGGUCGUAGGUUGAUGAUUAGAGAUGUCUCAUUAUUUUCCAAAAACAAGAGGGAUUACUAAAAGCAUGUGCAAAUACUUGUAAAAGAAGUUGGCCCUCGUCUCAUCCGAUAUAAUUCUAUAUCCAUUGCAACUCUUUUUCUGAUAGAAGGUCAAUGUGUGUGUGUAAUAAGUAUAGCUGUUUCAAUAAUUGGCAUUGAAAUCUUUCAUACAUAUGUUAUUUUUCGAUAUUUUAUCCCUAAAGAAGUGUUGUGUACGGUGUUUAACUGACCACAUAAACCUUAUGUACAGUGCAUAGUUAAGUUGUUGUACACCGUACACAAAAACUUUAUUUUCAUACUCGUUUAUUACCCAAAAAGUUUCAAGGAAAGAGUAAUCACCGGUAGGUUUAUGAUUGGUAGCUAUUACUUUUACCCUGUAAUAAGUUUCUUUCAGAUAAAACAUGUAAAUGUCUCGACAACUGUAUUGAAAUUGAAAGUUGGUGUUGACAUUCACAACUAUUUGCGCAUGUACAAGUUAAUUGUUCUUAUUAGAAUAUCAAAGUUGUUUUAUGAAUAGGAAAAAUGAUGCGAAAAUUAUUUGGGAGCAGGAAUUUCAAAUGUUGAGAAAUGUACAUUGAAUAUUGAUAAAGCAAAACAAAGAUUUUCGUUACCAUGUAAGGUCAAAAUCGAUCAUGCCCGCUUGGUUAGUACCUAUAUCCGGUGUACUGAUGAUACAAGGUGGUUAACCUGUACGACAAAAUAGGUAAUAUAAUAAAUUUGUACAAACUUUUUGCCAAAUGUGCUCAACUGAAUGCAAGUUAAUGAAGGCAAAUGUGUUUUCUUUUAUUUUUAUGGAAUUUCCUUUUAUCAGCAUUUAAGUCUGAUAUGUUUUAUACAAAUGUAAUAUAUUUCAAAGAUAUAAAAAAACAAACUUAAAAGCUAAAUGUAUCAGCCAUGAGAAGUUCUGAUAUAUAUUGCAUGUGUUAAGAUAGAUCUUUUAAGGUUUGGAAAUAUCUGAUUGUGAUUUAAUUGUUACAGUGAGUUGCUUAUAGGUGUUACUGUAAAACUUUACCUAUAGCUCAACCUGUUUUUAAAAUUGACAAUACAAUAGGGACAUUUAAAUUGACCAGUUGGUAUUGUUAGAUUUAAAUCUACCUUGAUGCUACCUGUAAAAAUUUUUAUUC
rnacentral:lncRNA from 1 species